AGAAGUGCGAAGUGCUUUCUUUACCCAUUCACAAUGCAUUCAGAUGAUGAAUUUUGUUGACCAAGAAAACAUUCGACAUUAUUGCAAGAAAAAUCGCUCGAAUUCACGGAAUAAGCAUCGCGGGAGUGCUGGAUCGGCAAUGAUUAAAUUAAGUAUCAUUGGCUGACCAUAACAUGUAGAUAACAUGUAGAAAUUUUAUAAAAAUAAUGUUUCGGCCAGUUUCAGCUACAGUUUAAGACUCCUAAUCGAAUCACAUUAAAACAAACUUAUUGCAUUAGCAAAUGGAAGAUUUCUUUUUACAGUUCUGUUUCAGCUCUGUGGAGAAAUAGCUGUCGAAGCUGACUGUUUAAAUUGAAGGGUGAAAAAAUGAAUUUCAUGAUGAUAUUUGCCACAUGGGCAUCGUUGCUGGGAGUCAACAGCGGUCAGGACACGAAAUUGGAGCAGAUGCAUGUGCAGAAACGCCUCAAUUUAGAGCUGGAACAAAAAAUUGUUUAUAUUCAACUAAAACUGUCGGAGGAUCUGUAUAAAGAUGAGCUGAUUAAUUCUCUAAAGGAAGCGAACGAGUUGCUAAAUAAAGAGUGCACAAAUAGCUGCCGUCAAUCUGAUGUGGAUCUACAACAGACUUUAACAAACUUACAGAAUACUGCCGACAUUCUGAAGAUAAUGGUUAAUAAUUAUGAACAAAAUGGCAACUCUUUUGAAAACCAGCUGACAUUGUGUCGAGCUUAACUGGCCAAGCCAACUGUAAAUCAAAUUUCGACUCUUACUCCAAGAAUUGAGGAACCAAAAGCCAACAGUUGUAUUCCGUUCGGAUAUUAUACAGGCAUUAAAACCCUUUACUCGUUAGGUGUAAGUCCUAUUCGCGUUCUCUGCGAUGGCAAAACAACUGGUCCCGGCUGGACUGUAAUUCAAAGUAGAUAGAAGUUGAGCUGAAUACCGAGUAGGUUUUGGCAGCCUGGACAAAGAGUUUUUUAUCGGACUGGAAAAUAUUUAUCACAUGACCAAUUCUCAGCGCCAUGAGCUGUGUAUAUUUGUACAGAGGUUUGAUGCUGUCGACUGGGCUCGGUAUGAUAUUUUUUUUUAUUGGUAGCGAAGCGGAUAAUUACAGGAUCAAAAGUCUUUGUACCUAUAAUGGCUCUACAGAUUUAAUGAAUCAUCAUAUAAACAGUGAAUUUUCGACCAACGACCGGGAGAGAAGCUAUAAAAAUUGGUCAAACAAAUUUCAUGGUGGCUACUGGUAUUUAGACGACUUAAAGUAUGGAAAUAAUCUAAAUGGACGUUAUUAUUUUCAGUCUUAUGCUCAUGACGACGGCAUGAAUUAUCGAGGGCCGGGCUCUAACACGGCAGUUCAAAGUACUCUAAGUAAAAUGCUUAC
rnacentral:sRNA from 1 species